UUGCUCACUUCGGCAGCACAUAUACUAAAAUUGGAAUGAUACAGAGAAGAUUAACAUGGCCCCUGCGCAAGGAUGACACCCAAAUUCGUGAAGCAUUACAUAUAAAA
ensembl:snRNA U6 U6 spliceosomal RNA